GCCUAUGAUUAAAUUAUAUCCGAAUUUUUUGAGGUGUUUUGGAUCCAAGCCCCUGUUUACAGGGAGAACCUACUUGGUGAAGAUACAUUCAUAUGACAUUAAUGGAUUGAAUGAGGC
rnacentral:snoRNA from 1 species